AACAGAGGUCUCAAGCGUUGUUCGGAUUCAUUGGGCGUAAAGGGUGCGUAGGCGGCGCGGUAAGUCGGGUGUGAAAUCUCGGAGCUUAACUCCGAAACUGCAUUCGAUACUGCCGUGCUUGAGGACUGGAGAGGAGACUGGAAUUUACGGUGUAGCGGUGAAAUGCGUAGAUAUCGUAAGGAAGACCAGUGGCGAAGGCGGGUCUCUGGACAGUUCCUGACGCUGAGGCACGAAGGUCAGGGGAGCAAACGGG
rnacentral:rRNA from 1 species